GCGUGGCUUAGUGGUUAGGGCAUUCGGCUCACAAUCGUAAGGUCGUGAGUUCGAUUCUCGGUGACGCG
rnacentral:tRNA from 1 species